ACCAUGGCUUUUCUUAAAGCCAUAAUAGAGAGCAAAACCCUUACCCU
rfam:Microgenomates (Curtissbacteria) bacterium GW2011_GWC2_38_9 TT12_C0016, whole genome shotgun sequence.